GAACGUACGCUGGCGGCACGCCUAACACAUGCAAGUCGAACGAAGUAGCAAUACUUAGUGGCAGACGGGUGAGUAACAUGUAGGUAUCUGCCCUUUGGCCUGGAAUAACACGAGGAAACUUGUGCUAAUACCGGAUAAGUCUUUACGGAGAAAGCUUUAUGCACCAUUGGAUGAGCCUGCACUUGAUUAGUUUGUUGGUGGGGUAAUGGCCUACCAAGACUGUGAUCAAUAGCUGAUUUGAGAGGAUGAUCAGCCACAUUGGGACUGAGACACGGCCCAAACUCCUACGGGAGGCAGCAGUGGGGAAUCUUGCACAAUGGAGGAAACUCUGAUGCAGCGAUGCCGCGUGAGUGAAGAAGGCCUUUGGGUUGUAAAGCUCUUUCGUCGGGGAAGAAAAUGACUGUACCCGAAUAAGAAGGUCCGGCUAACUUCGUGCCAGCAGCCGCGGUAAUACGAAGGGACCUAGCGUAGUUCGGAAUUACUGGGCUUAAAGAGUUCGUAGGUGGUUGAAAAAGUUGGUGGUGAAAUCCCAGAGCUUAACUCUGGAACUGCCAUCAAAACUUUUCAGCUAGAGUAUGAUAGAGGAAAGCAGAAUUUCUAGUGUAGAGGUGAAAUUCGUAGAUAUUAGAAAGAAUACCAAUUGCGAAGGCAGCUUUCUGGAUCAUUACUGACACUGAGGAACGAAAGCAUGGGUAGCGAAGAGGAUUAGAUACCCUCGUAGUCCAUGCCGUAAACGAUGUGUGUUAGACGUUGGAAAUUUAUUUUCAGUGUCGCAGCGAAAGCGAUAAACACACCGCCUGGGGAGUACGACCGCAAGGUUAAAACUCAAAUGAAUUGACGGGGACCCGCACAAGUAGUGGAGCAUGUGGUUUAAUUCGAAGAUACGCGCAGAACCUUACCAACACUUGACAUGUUCGUCGCGACCUUAAGAGAUUAAAGUUUUCGGUUCGGCCGGACGAAACACAGGUGCUGCAUGGCUGUCGUCAGCUCGUGUCGUGAGAUGUUGGGUUAAGUCCCGCAACGAGCGCAACCCUCACUUUUAGUUGCCAUCAUUUAGUUGGGCACUCUGAAAGAACUGCCAGUGAUAAGCUGGAGGAAGGUGGGGAUGACGUCAAGUCCUCAUGGCCCUUACGUGUUGGGCUACACACGUGCUACAAUGGUAUCUACAACAGGAAGCAAAACCGCGAGGUUAAGCAAAUCCUUAAAAGAUACCUCAGUUCGGAUUGCACUCUGCAACUCGAGUGCAUGAAGCUGGAAUUACUAGUAAUCGUGGAUCAGCGUGCCACGGUGAAUGCGUUCCCGGGUCUUGUACACACCGCCCGUCACACCAUGGGAGUUGGUUCUACCUUAAGGCAAGGUUUCAAACCCUCGACCACGGUAUAGUCAGCGACUGGGGU
rnacentral:rRNA from 1 species